GUCCCCGUAGCGCAAUGGAUAGUGCGUUGGACUUCUAAUCCAAAGGUCGUGGAUCCACCUGGGAUC